rnacentral:tRNA from 1 species
GCCCGGGUGGUGGAAUUGGUAGACACAAGGGACUUAAAAUCCCUCGGCCCUUAAAGCCGUGCCGGUUCGAUUCCGGCCCCGGGUACCA